UACCGAAGCGUUAGUAAUAUGCCACCAGUAAUGCUCUGAUGAAAUGACGAAGGACCUCGGCUAAGUGGAGACUCAAGGCUAAGCCACGAAUGCAUUUUCACACACACACGACUGUACAUUUAUCGUGUCUCUAACUAGUGACCACAUGGAUUAAUACACAUGUUGAACAUCCACUGAAACUAAAAAUAAAUUUGGCUGACUAGGAACUGUUCAUUACUUACCCAAGAAGUAUUCUUUACAUAUAAAAUGGUGAGUUGAGGGGAAAAAUCCUCUCAUCCUUUAGGAUGAGGCUACAAUAAGAGGAUCAGCCCUAAGAAGCCCCUUAUGAGUGGGUUGAAGGUGACAGUAAGGGGACAAACUCAACUAUAAAACAAGAAGGAUGCACAAUCGAUGAAAUACUGCUAGAAAAUAAGAUAUUAUUGAUAGAGAACAUGAGUUUAAGACUUGAGAACAAUGAGCUCAAUGUUGAUGAAAUGCGAUCAAGGAUAACUCGUUUGGAAGAGAAGAUAAAAUUUUACAAGGAUAAAAUGUCCAGCAACAACAAAUUAAUAGUUGCUUAUAAGUUGUUGUUAAUUGUAUCAUGGAUGAUGUUUUUUUGGUUAUCUUGCUUCUUAAUGGUGAAAUGUUAUUCAUGUAUUUCCAUUAGUUGUUAAGAAUGAAUAAAUUGAAUGAAAUGAAAAAUAUUUUUUUUGUUGUCCAUAAA